GGCUCAGGAUGAACGCUAGCUACAGGCUUAACACAUGCAAGUCGAGGGGCAGCAUGGUCGAAGCUUGCUUCGACUGAUGGCGACCGGCGCACGGGUGCGUAACGCGUAUCGAACCUGCCCUAUACACGGGGAUAGCCUUGCGAAAGUAAGAUUAAUACCCGAUGCCAAGUUGAGAUCGCAUGAUUUGAUUUGAAAGAAAUUCGGUAUAGGAUGGCGAUGCGUCUGAUUAGGUAGAUGGCGGGGUAACGGCCCACCAUGCCGACGAUCAGUAGGGGUUCUGAGAGGAAGGUCCCCCACAUUGGAACUGAGACACGGUCCAAACUCCUACGGGAGGCAGCAGUGAGGAAUAUUGGUCAAUGGUCGCGAGACUGAACCAGCCAAGUAGCGUGCAGGAUGACGGCCCUCUGGGUUGUAAACUGCUUUUAGUUGGGAAUAAAAGGCGGUACGUGUACCGCGUAUUGUAUGUACCAUCAGAAAAAGGACCGGCUAAUUCCGUG
rnacentral:rRNA from 1 species